rnacentral:rRNA from 1 species
GCGCACCAGUCGCGAAACCUCCGCAAUACACGAAAGUGUGACGGGGCCAUCCCGAGUGCCGUCCGCUGAGGACGGCUUUUCCCCAGUGUACAUAGCUGGGGGAAUAAGGAGAGGGCAAGCCUGGUGUCAGCCGCCGCGGUAAUACCAGCUCUCCGAGUGGUGGGGACGCUUAUUGGGCCUAAAGCAUCCGUAGCCGGCUGGGCAAGUCCUCCGUUAAAAUCCAACGAUUCAAUCGUUGGGCUGCGGGGGAUACUGUCCAGCUUGGGGGCGGGAGAGGCCGACGGUAUUCCCGGGGUAGGGGUGAAAUCCUAUAAUCCCGGGAGGACCACCAGUGGCGAAGGCUGUCGGCUAGAACGCGCCCGACGGUGAGGGAUGAAAAGCUGGGGGAGCGAACCGGAUUAGAUACCCCUGUAGU